rnacentral:rRNA from 1 species
GAUGAACGCUGGCGGCGUGCCUAAUACAUGCCAGUCGAGCGAACGGACGAGAAGCUUGCUUCUCUGAUGUUAGCGGCGGACGGGUGAGUAACACGUGGAUAACCUACCUAUAAGACUGGGAUAACUUCGGGAAACCGGAGCUAAUACCGGAUAAUAUUUUGAACCGCAUGGUUCAAAAGUGAAAGACGGCCUUGCUGUCACUUAUAGAUGGAUCCGCGCUGCAUUAGCUAGUUGGUAAGGUAACGGCUUACCAAGGCAACGAUGCGUAGCCGACCUGAGAGGGUGAUCGGCCACACUGGAACUGAGACACGGUCCAGACUCCUACGGGAGGCAGCAGUAGGGAAUCUUCCGCAAUGGGCGAAAGCCUGACGGAGCAACGCCGCGUGAGUGAUGAAGGUCUUCGGAUCGUAAAACUCUGUUAUUAGGGAAGAACAUAUGUGUAAGUAACUGUGCACAUCUUGACGGUACCUAAUCAGAAAGCCACGGCUAACUACGUG